rnacentral:rRNA from 1 species
UACAGAGGUCCCGAGCGUUGUUCGGAUUUAUUGGGCGUAAAGGGCGCGUAGGCGGCGCAACAAGUCACUUGUGAAAUCUCCGGGCUUAACCCGGAGCGGCCAAGUGAUACUGUCGUGCUAGAGUGCGGAAGGGGCUACUGGAAUUCUCGGUGUAGCGGUGAAAUGCGUAGAUAUCAGGAGGAACACCGGUGGCGAAGGCGGUUCUCUGGGCAUUACCUGACGCUGAGGAGCGAAAGUGUGGGGAGCGAACAGG